AGGUAAGCUACUAAGAGCGAAUGGUGGAUGCCUUGACUGGUAGAGGCGAUGAAGGACGUACUAGACUGCGAUAAGCUAGGUGGAGCUGUCAAGAAGCUUUGAUGCCUAGAUUUCCGAAUGGGGCAACCCAGUAUAUAGAGAUAUAUACUACCAUAAUGGAGCGAACGAGGGGAAUUGAAACAUCUUAGUACCCUCAGGAAAAGAAAUCAAACGAGAUUGCGUCAGUAGCGGCGAGCGAAAGCGUAAGAGGGCAAACCCAGUGCUUGCACUGGGGGUUGUAGGACUGCAAUGUGCAAGAGGAAAGGUUAGCAGAACACUCUGGAAAGUGUAGCCAUAGAGGGUGAUAGUCCCGUAUGCAAAAACCUAACCUUAGCUAGCAGUAUCCUGAGUAGGGCGGGACACGAGAAAUCCUGUCUGAAGCUGGGUAGACCACUAUCCAACCCUAAAUACUACUACCAGAUCGAUAGCGAACAAGUACCGUGAGGGAAAGGUGAAAAGAACGGCGGUGAGCCGAGUGAAAUAGAACCUGAAACCAUUUGCUUACAAUCAUUCAGAGCACUAUGUAGUAAUACAGUGUGAUGGACUGCCUUUUGCAUAAUGAGCCUGCGAGUUGUGGUGUCUGGCAAGGUUAAGCUAACGCGAAGCCGUAGCGAAAGCGAGUCUGAAUAGGGCGCUAAGUCAGAUGCUGCAGACCCGAAACGAAGUGAUCUAUCCAUGAGCAGGUUGAAGCUAGUGUAAGAACUAGUGGAGGACCGAACCCGCUAGCGUUGAAAAGCUAUGGGAUGACUUGUGGAUAGGGGUGAAAGGCCAAUCAAACUUCGUGAUAGCUGGUUCUCUCCGAAAUAUAUUUAGGUAUAGCGUUGUGUCGUAACUAAAGGGGGUAGAGCACUGAAUGGGCUAGGGCAUACACCAAUGUACCAAACCCUAUCAAACUCCGAAUACCUUUAGUGUAAUCACAGCAGUCAGGCGGCGAGUGAUAAAAUCCGUCGUCAAGAGGGAAACAACCCAGACUAACAGCUAAGGUCCCCAAAUCUUACUUAAGUGGAAAACGAUGUGAAGUUACUUAAACAACCAGGAGGUUGGCUUAGAAGCAGCCAUCCUUUAAAGAAAGCGUAAUAGCUCACUGGUCUAGUGAUUUUGCGCGGAAAAUAUAACGGGGCUAAAGUAAGUACCGAAGCUUUAGACUUGCACACAACUUAGAUGAUUUAAAUUUGGAAUAUGAGAAGCUAAAUUUGUUUUUAUUUAUUUUUGCUUAUCUUUAUUCAUUUUUAUAGAGUAAAGAUAAAAACAAAAACUUCGUAAAAAUAAUAAAAUUUAGUAAAAAACAAUAAAAAUAUUCUUAGAUUAAAAGUUAAGUCGUUUAAGUUGUGUGCAAGUGGUAGGAGAGCGUUCUAUUUGCGUCGAAGGUAUACCGACAAGGAGUGCUGGAGCGAAUAGAAGUGAGCAUGCAGGCAUGAGUAGCGAUAAUUAAUGUGAGAAUCAUUAACGCCGUAAACCCAAGGUUUCCUACGCGAUGCUCGUCAUCGUAGGGUUAGUCGGGUCCUAAGCUGAGUCCGAAAGGGGUAAGCGAUGGCAAAUAGGUUAAUAUUCCUAUACCAACAUUAGUGUGCGAUGGAAGGACGCUUAGGGCUAAGGGGGCUAGCGGAUGGAAGUGCUAGUCUAAGGUCGUAGGAGGUUAUACAGGCAAAUCCGUAUAACAAUACUCCGAGAACUGAAAGGCUUUUUGAAGUCUUCGGAUGGAAAGAAGAACCCCUGAUGCCGUCGAGCCAAGAAAAGUUUCUAAGUUUAGCUAAUGUUGCCCGUACCGUAAACCGACACAGGUGGGUGGGAUGAGUAUUCUAAGGCGCGUGGAAGAACUCUCUUUAAGGAACUCUGCAAAAUAGCACCGUAUCUUCGGUAUAAGGUGUGCCUCCCUUUGUAUUAGAAUUCACUUCGAAAGCAAAGAAGGUUACAACAAAGAGUCCCUCCCGACUGUUUACCAAAAACACAGCACUCUGCUAACUCGUAAGAGGAUGUAUAGGGUGUGACGCCUGCCCGGUGCUCGAAGGUUAAUUGAUGGGGUUAGCAUUAGCGAAGCUCUUGAUCGAAGCCCGAGUAAACGGCGGCCGUAACUAUAACGGUCCUAAGGUAGCGAAAUUCCUUGUCGGUUAAAUACCGACCUGCAUGAAUGGCGUAACGAGAUGGGAGCUGUCUCAAAGAGGGAUCCAGUGAAAUUGUAGUGGAGGUGAAAAUUCCUCCUACCCGCGGCAAGACGGAAAGACCCCGUGG
rnacentral:rRNA from 1 species